UACGGGGGGAGCAAGCGUUGUUCGGAUUUACUGGGCGUAAAGGGCGCGUAGGCGGCCACCGCAAGUCGAUUGUGAAAUCUCCGGGCUUAACCCGGAAAGGUCAACCGAUACUGCGGGGCUAGAGUGCAGAAGGGGCAACUGGAAUUCUCGGUGUAGCGGUGAAAUGCGUAGAUAUCGAGAGGAACACCUGCGGCGAAGGCGGCAUCCUGGCCCUGUCCUGACGCUCAGGGGCGAAAGCGUGGGGAGCAAACCGG
rnacentral:rRNA from 1 species